UACGUAGGGUGCAAGCGUUAUCCGGAAUCACUGGGCGUAAAGCGCACGUAGGCGGAUUGCUAAGUCAGGGGUGAAAUCCUGGAGCUCAACUCCAGAACUGCCUUUGAUACUGGCAACCUUGAGUCCGGGAGAGGUGAGUGGAACUGCGAGUGUAGAGGUGAAAUUCGUAGAUAUUCGCAAGAACACCAGUGGCGAAGGCGGCUCACUGGCCCGGUACUGACGCUGAGGUGCGAAAGCGUGGGGAGCAAACAGG
rnacentral:rRNA from 1 species